UACGAAGGGUGCAAGCGUUACUCGGAAUUACUGGGCGUAAAGAGUGUGUAGGCGGUGUUCUAAGUUUGUCGUGAAAUCUCCCGGCUUAACUGGGAGGGUGCGGCGAAAACUGGAAUGCUAGAGGAUGGGAGAGGUAAGCGGAAUUCCUGGUGUAGCGGUGAAAUGCGUAGAUAUCAGGAGGAACACCUGUGGUGUAGACAGCUUACUGGACCAUUUCUGACGCUGAGACACGAAAGCGUGGGUAGCAAACAGG
rnacentral:rRNA from 1 species